GGUAAGGCCCCCUUGGUCUGCUCCCUUCCCCACCUCCCCAGGCCUGCACCUCUACCCCUCACCCCUCCCUCACCUCCCAUCUUUGUUUGGCACCUCUGGCUGGACAGAUGGUGCUCCCAGGCCUGGACUGGCUCCUGGGAGCAUACUGUCUCAAGAGCCUCAGCUUGUAGGGCUGGUGAAAGAGGAUGGGGCUGAGAUGGGCACAGGUGUUCACUGUCUUAAGAUCUAAUUCGAUUCUGCGAGCCUCUUGUGAGUACUUCUCUAAGGGCCAGGCGCCUUGCUGGGGCUUGUAAGGAUAGAGCAUCAUAGCCCCUCCACCCAAGAGGGGACGGCAGGUGAGGACAAUGCCUUCUGUAUCUCCACUGCUUGCUUCUAGAACAGUCUUUCUGGCAGGAACACAUAGUAUACAUAUGUUCACAUGGAAGAAUGAGUGAGUGAUUGAAUGAAUGAAGCAGAGAGAAUUGCAGACACCAGGAACCAGAAAAUAAGACGAAAUGUGAAAAAAGUUACCAUUCCCAUGUAUUUGUCUCAUCAGACAUUGACCAAGGCCUUACUAUUUGCCCAGCACUGGGGGGAUAAUAUGAAGACCCACAACGCUCAAACCCAACCUUGAGGUUUAUUUCUCUCUCAGUGCGGGUGGGGAUUGGGGGGAAGCGGGUCAAAAUAACAGAUGUUCCGAGAACCUGUGCUCUUCCGCAUUCAGGUGGUGGAAAUCGAGACGCUAGAGUUUAAGCCCUAGGGACAUUCACUGGCAGCUUCCAGCCCCUGAAAACUUCCUAAACCCAUGUCCUGCUUUCUUCAAACCAUGACAGCUUAGAAUACAGAGCAGGAGAGGAGCGGAGAAUCGUAACUAGGGGCUAUCCCUGCAUGUGGUCUCUUCUUCAAGGUCUCUAAUAGAGUUCUCUACUCAGUUGGUGGCAUGCUAGAAGGAAGUCCUGCCUGUUGGGGCUUUCCCUGGGUCACGAAGGCGGCAGAUACUAUGUCUGUUCAUAGAGGAAAGCCUGAAGUCUUUGUGUCUUAGGGUUUUUCUCUGUCCCCAAGAGUAGGAGCCUGCUUUAGCCUGACUGGGGAGGCUGCCUGGAGGCCCCUGUGUUUUCUUUUGCUGAAGGAUUCUGGGCUGGGGAUGGUCUCUUUCUGUGAAUUAUGGCUUCCCAUCUCUCCAGCCGCCCACCUCUCCCCCAAGGCCUGGGAGAGUGGGGACUGGAGCACAUGUUUGGCUGAUGACAUCUUGGGGCAACAGAAUGGCAUUGUUGUUAGAGAGUAGGUCGUCCUCACUGGCUUCACUCAUCCUCUUCCCACACUUAGGACCCCAGGGCCAGGGGAUCCAGGCACAGAUGCAAAAAGGCCUGGGGGAUUGGAAGGGGUGGUGGAGAUUCCCUGUGUGCGAUAUCAGGGGAGAGCAGAGUGGAGGCCCUGAGCUGAGUCUGGCUGAGAAUAGGCUGCUUCCGCAUGUCCUGUCUGCCCCCACUUUUCCUCAGAUCAUAUGGGGGCUGCCUCUGCAGCCUUUGGCUAUAAAGGCUUGAUGUCACCCUUGGGAGGGAUCCCCCCUCCCUGCCCUGAUCUCCUUACUGGCCUCCGCACUUUCUUGGACUUCUUCUUCCUGGAUAUCAGGUGUCCAGAGCAAUGACUCUCCUUUGGGUGGGCACUUCCCAGAAGGAUGCUGAAAUUGCCUGCAAGGGGAGUUUCCUAAUCUGUGCCGUCAACCAAAGAGAAGGCAUGAGGGCAGUGAGAUAAACAUGGGAUGACUAAGUAAAUAGGAACAAUAUUGACAAGUGAGGGGUGAGCUAAUGGAAGAAAGGAGCACACAAUGAUUGAGAACCCAGUGCUGUACUAGGUACUACCACCUGCCUUAUCUCCAUCAUCCCGGUAACAAUAACGGAAGAUGGGUCCUGUUAUCCCCCUGUGAAUGGGGCAGGCCCAGAACCCCAGAGCAAGUAAAUGGUGAAGUUGAAUUUGUUCCAAAGGGGACUCAGAGGGAGAACUGUGGGGUGGGAUUGGGUGGGAUUCCAUGGGGUACAGGAUGGUCUAGUGAGAAAGGAAGGCUUUGAGUCUCUCCAGGAUGAUUGGGAACCCAACACUCCUCUUUCUACAGUGGACGUUUCUUGGGGCUUAGCAUGCAGCCCCCUCUGCUUAAAUCUACAUUGUUGGGAUCCAAGUCGAGCUCUCAACUUUCUCCCAUGUCUUCCAGGUCAUCUCUUCCUUGGGCUUGGAUUUUCUCACUUCCUGAUAUUUAAUGCAUUACACAUUUAUUGAACAUAAGGCACUCCACCUUUCUGCAGAAAAUGAAUAUGACACCGUUCCUGCUCUCAGGGAGUUCUCAUUCCUAUGAGCAAAGUUUACCGACAGGCAUGUACAGGGCUAAAGAUGGGCUUAGUAGACAUCACUAGAAGGGUGUAAAUGAGUGUUCUGGAAGCAUAGAGGAGGAAGUGUGAGAUCUGAUUUCGGCUGCUGUGGGGUGUCCUGGGCAGCUUCAUAGAGGCUGCUUAACCUGAACCCCACUCCCGCCCAUAUGCUGGCACUUUGUCAUCUAAGGAGCAAUUUGGAGGGAAGGUCAUGCUUGCUGGAGCUUUUUUUAGGGUUAAAUACCUGUAUGAAAUGUGUGAAUUGAGUGUCUGAAAAGUCAUCCCUGGGCUUCUCUGGUAUAUUGUGCACUCCUGCCUUGGUAAAUACUUACACACACGCCUACUUGCAAACCCACAAAUAGACAUGUGCACAAAAGGAGCUGUGGCACUUAGGAUGGCAGCCGAUUCCAAAUCUCUAAACAACAACUUUGGCUUCCUCAUCCCCAUUGCCAGGAACAUGAGCUGGAGGGAGGUGGCCCACAAGUGCCCAAUGUAUGCCUCCGCCCCACACAUUACCGCUCUUCCCUUCAUCUGUGGUCACUGCUCAGGCUUGCCCCCCAAACUCCGAGAAAAAUCAGGAGGAGCUAUAAAACUAGAAGAACCACAUAAUUUAGUGGUCAGAGCCUGGGGCUGGAUUCUUGGCCAAGCAUCCUGCCUUUAACUCCUUGUGAUCUUCUGGCAAUGAUUUGGUUAUGCCGCUUCAGUUUCCUUUUCUGAAGCAUGGGAGAACUAUUCAGCUGGUGUUAGAGGGUUGUAAAGAGCAAAAGUGAUAAUGAGUGAGAUGCUGCAGGAAUGAGAGGGGCCAUGAACUUCCCCCGCACAGCACUGUAUCCACCCAGGAAUGCGAGAAGCCAUGCACUCCGAACAACCCUGUUGUGUACCAGCCCCAGCCCUGCCCAGAGGGCACACUCACUGGUGGGAAAGGUAUUUGUGGAGAGACCGGUGGGACCCAUGCCUGUCUUCUCUAACUCGUCUUCCAGCCCUGAUUAACACUGAGAAUCGUGACCAAGAAAUGGCCAGUGGGGCACGCGUCAUGGCUCUGUCUCUGACUUGCUUCCUCUAUCUGUUACAUGAGCAGAUUUGACUCAAUUUCUGAGGGGCUUUCUAGCUCUAAAAAUCUUAUUUGAACUUUUCUCAAGAUUCUUGUGAUCCUGCCUUGUUUCCCAGCACCUAAAAACCAAACUUGACCCAUGCACACAGUGCACACAUCUACAAGGACGGAGGAGCAGAUGAGGGCGUGGGGUGGAGGAGACGGAGAGAGGAAGUCAGGAAUCCUUCCCUGGUGGCCCAGAGGCAGCCCUGAGAAGGAGGUCAUUGAUCUGUUUGCUCAAGAAAUAAUGUGCUAGAUUUUGUGCCAGGAACCUCUUAGUUGGGUUUUCACCAGUCUAAUGUUGAACUAGACUGUUCAAUUUUAUUAUAAUUAAUUGCCUGGUAAAAGAAAACAUUCUAGAACCUGAAAAUACCUUUCAUAUUGUUACAAUUUCAGAUUUGCUCUGUAAUCUCUUUUGACUGCUUCAUCAGUGGGAGCUUAAAAGGCUUCAUCUUUCUUUUUUUUGUUUCUCCCUUAGUUGAGUAUUUAGUGAUCCAUAAGAAAACAUUUUUAUGAAUAGGAUAUUUCUGAUUCCUUUUCGAGUGAAGAAUCCUCAUUCUAAAACGGAUUAUGAAUAAUUGUACCUCUGAAUCAGGGUUUCUCCACCUUGGACUAUCUACAUUUUGGACAGGAUAAUUCUUUGCGGUGAGGGCUGUCCUGUGCAGGGUGCUUAGCCGUGUCCCUGCCUUUGAUCCCCGUGUUGUGAUCUAAACUCCCGUGAUGAGUUGCUACUGAAAAAUCUAUUUGUCCCCCAAGCACAGGAAUCUUUGAGUAGGUCAGCUCUGUGCACCUCUUUCAGGGACCCAAGGAGAGUCAGGUGUUUUGGGGUCAGCCUUACUCCCAAGCAGGUGAGCUAGGGCUUUCUGUGCUGUCCCCUUGUGGGCAUAUGAGGUUAUUGCAAGUAAUGGCUGGGCCGGAUACCUUCAAAACCCAUCCACAGGCUGGGCCCCCCUUUUUGCUGGAUUCUGGAGUUCACAGUCAAAGGAGGCUAGUUCUCUACAAACCGUGCUGGGUUGGGUCAUAAGCUGGUUCUUCAUGCAGGGUGUGGUCUGGCUAGGUUGCCAGAUAAAAUGCAGGACACUCAUUCAGUUCAAUUUAAAUUUGAGAUAACGAAUAGGCUGCUAGUAUAAGUGUAUCCCCAAUAUUGCACGUGACAUACUUAUACUAAAAAAAAAUUGUGCAUCUAACAUUCAAAUCUAACUGAGCAUCCUGUAUUUUUAUUUGGUAACUCUAGCAACUCUGGGUCUGACAGUAGCUUUUUGUUUUCCCCAGGCCACUAGAGUGUGAGAAUUCAUAGGGAAUGGAGGUUUAUGGGGGACACUUUCAGCUUCAGAGAUGUGUAGGGACCAAAGGGGAAUCUUUGAGCCUGCCACUGACUAUACCACCACUAACAUCUACGAUACAGCAAGUAGAACUCUGGACUUGGAAAAGGUGCUCUCUCGGACCCAUUUCUAGAUUUGCCAUCAAUCUUUCACACAUUUGGUCAAAAUGGGACACAAACGUGGAAGCAUAUUGGAGGAGGGCAGAGAAGAGUUAGUGGCUGGUCUCUUCCCUCGAGUACCCUUAGCAUAGAGGAAGGGACACAGAUACACAGCAAUUACAGCACCCAGUGAAAGAUGCUGAAAUAAAAGGCCACAGGAGGGAGUGAAGAACUUCUGUGCGUCUGUGUGUCUGUGUGUGUGGUGCUAGCGAUUGUUUUUCCCCCAAUCUAGGGUAUCUAGAGAGGAGGGCUUUGUGCAAAUGGUUGAUGUGGUGGUGGUGAUGAAGGGAAUGUAGAAAACUUGUUUUGAAGCUGUGUUUGCAUGCCAAGUGUACUAUUUUUCACUUAUAUGCUUGCUGAAGGUUGGCUUAGGGGGCAGCUGAUGAAAAUAAUAAUGAGUAACAGUUAAGUCAAACCACCUUUUGGCGUUGCUGCUGAUUCAUUCACUCUACAGAUGGUGUCAGUGAGCAUCUACACCAUUCUAGGCGUAUUUCUAGGCAUAGGCAGUGGAGAAGACACAACGAAAAAUUGGCGGGCUGGGGGAGUUGGAUUCUAGAAUGAAAGAGCUUCAUGGGCACAGACAUAGGGAGAAUGGUGUGCUCUGCAGUGCUGAGACAGGAUGAGACCAAAAUGCCAGGUCUAAGGAGUGGGGUGGGACGUGCAGAGGGUGGAAAAGUAGUUGCACAAAGACCUUAAAGAGCUUCUGUGUUCCUUAUCCUUAGCAUUUUGCUAAUCUGGGCUAGAGAACGAAGACUUGAAUUAAUGAAGGUUAGCAGGAGCAAGGAGGUAGGGACUGAAUGAAGAGAGAGCUUUCCAUGUUGAACUGACAGGACCUGGUGGCUGCUGCUGUGCAUACGGGCAAGGCAGAGGAGAUGAGUGAGCUGAUGUCUCCUCUCUGAUUGCCCUCCCACCUCCAGCUCUGGAGUCAAUUUCUUGCCACUGCCAGCCCUUUAGAAUGUGAGCUCCUGUCUAUGUCUUUUUGUAUGUCACAUAAUUGUCAAACUAUGGAUAAAUAGAGUUAUUUCAUUUACUCCCAUAGAAAGACCAAAUGGCUCCAGGCCAAGAGAGAAAAUUGAAUCAAAGGGACCCAUGUGUCUUAGUUGGGGUAAGUUCUAAUUUUAAAAGAGAUUUUUAGCACACAGUAGGAAUAAGAAUAAAGACAUGAUCUGGAGAUUCAGAGAAGAUAAUUUUGCCUAAAACAAGCGAGAAGUGGAUAAUAAGGAGAGACUAAUCUGACUCAGUGAAAUAAACGGAUCCAUGAAUCCCAAAUUGGGUAAAUCCAAGAAGGGUCAGAAGAAGGCAAAAUGGGAACAUUCAGAUGCACAUGAAAUUCGAUGAAUGAAUCCUCUAGAUUGGAUUCUCUUUUUUCUCUGCAUCUGUCAUUGUUGGCCAUAGUUUGUGUCUUAGGGGCCAAUAGCCGAAACAAAGUAGCACCUAAAGCCCUCUAGACAGCUGGUCUGAAAAUGAUGGAGAACACUGCUUCGCAAACUUUAAUGUGAGCUGUUGGGAAACUGAGACUCCUGAGCUUGUCUCUGAUUUAUCGCCACCGGUUUUUGCAUGCAAGGACCGCUUAAGCAAUGCUUCUCAAACUUUCAUAUGCCCGGGAAUCAGCUGGAAAUCUUAAACUGCAGAUUUGGAUUCGCUAGGUGGAAGGGUCCACCUGAGCAUUUCCAUUUCUUAUAAGGGCUCAUGUGCUGCUGCUGAUCCAGGGGUCCACUUUAAGAAGGAAGGAAGGCUGUUGAGAUGAUGUGAGAAGAAAGACGAGAGGCAGAAAGGCAGAGACAGAGAUAAUGAAUGCAUGAAUGAAUGAAUGAAUGAAUGAACACCUAUGAGGAAGGACAGCCUGGAGCCAGGCUUAUUCUUAUGGUUCACUGUUCUUUUGUGUUAAGCCCUGAAGAUGCUAUAGUUGGGAGGGAAAUGCCAGGAUCAAAGGGUUCUGCUGAGAAGGUUGAGUAGGCAGAGGAUGGUGCAACAGGAGAAAUCCUGCUAGCCUCUGCAUACGACUCCCUCCACAAAUAUGAGACAGGAAUUCCUUGCACCCCUCGGUCCGUGCAAAACAAGGCUUAUCCUGGAGGGCAAUCUCAGGGCACCUGGUGAGGCUCAAACAGGACCACUCCAGGGGUAAACUGGUUAGCAGGUAAGCACAUGUCUAAAUAGAACUCCUCCCCUCCGUACCUGAAAUGCACUGAUAAUACAUUCACACAUGAUACGUUCUGGUCCCAGGACCCGGUGGGGGGCCAGGGGUGGCGGGGAAGGAAACCAGUCACGGACAAUCUCAAAACGCAUGCUAAAUGGGCAAAAAGUUUAUUUGUAUUUACUGACUAUAAAGAGACAAUACAUCAAUGGCCCCACCUGCCUUGAUUGAAGACCCUGAGGUUCCUGCUGCUGAAGCACACACAUCUGUGUAUAAUGGAGUCAAGUCAGGGCCUCUCCCUCCACAACUAGGUAUGCUCACUGUUUCCAGCUUUCCUAUUCCAUCCCUUCGUAGGAUCUGGGAGUCUCCUCUCCUUCUAGCUGCCAAAGAGAAUGAUGUCCAGGCCCUGAACAAGUUGCUCAAGUAUGAGGAUUGCAAGGUGCACCAGAGAGGUAAGAAGCAGAAACGCAGCAUGAUCUCCUAGGUGAGCCCCACACAUGGGGCCUCCCAGGAGUGCCCAGGACCUUGUGCUGUUGGCCUCUGAAUCUAUUGUCUCCAAUCCCCUGUCCCACGGAAGCCAUAUAACCCACCUCUCUGUAAAUGCCAGGAGCCAUGGGGGAAACAGCACUACACAUAGCAGCCCUCUAUGACAACCUGGAAGCCGCCAUGGUGCUGAUGGAGGCUGCCCCGGAGCUGGUCUUUGAGCCCAUGACAUCUGAGCUGUAUGAGGGUGAGGGCCCACGGGCCUGGGGUGAAGAGCAGGAGUGACUGGUUGGGUAUCUCAAGACAGUCUCUGUGGUGGAUAAUUUGGGAAAGACAAAGGGGAUCUGAGCCUCCUACUCUUUUUUUCUCUUCUCUGCCUCCCUUCCGUGUCAGUCCUGACUGCCCAUCACUAGAAUGCCUGCCCCCUAAAAUGCCAGGGGCCUAGAGAAGAGGAAGAGAUGGGCAGCAGCUGGAUCCCCUGGGAAUCCUGAACACCCGAGGGCUCCCUGUUCCCCAUCCCAGGCUACCCCUGAGGGAAAGAGACCAGGGGUGCAUAUGGGAGGGACCCCCUGCAGGAUCCUGGGGACAGACCCGUGACUGACAGCUGUCUCUGGGCCAGGUCAGACUGCACUGCACAUCGCUGUUGUGAACCAGAACGUGAACCUGGUGCGAGCCCUGCUCGCCUGCAGGGCCAGUGUCUCUGCCAGAGCCACAGGCACUGCCUUCCGCCGUAGUCCCCACAACCUCAUCUACUUUGGGGAGCACCCUUUGUCGUUUGCUGCUUGUGUGAACAGCGAGGAGAUUGUGCGGCUGCUCAUUGAGCAUGGAGCUGACAUCAGGGCCCAGGACUCCCUGGGAAACACAGUGUUACACAUCCUCAUCCUCCAGCCCAACAAAACCUUUGCCUGCCAGAUGUACAACCUGCUGCUGUCCUACGACAGACAUGGGGACCAUCUGCAGCCCCUGGACCUUGUGCCCAAUCAUCAGGGUCUCACCCCCUUCAAGCUGGCUGGAGUGGAGGGUAACACUGUGAUGUUUCAGCACCUGAUGCAGAAGCGGAAGCACACCCAGUGGACAUAUGGACCACUGACCUCGACUCUCUAUGACCUCACGGAGAUCGACUCCUCGGGGGAUGAGCAGUCCCUGCUGGAACUUAUCAUCACCACCAAGAAGCGGGAGGUAUGGCUCAUGACAGCAGGCUGUGGCUGGGGAGGGGUGUCAGGGUCUCUGAGCCGCCUGUUCUCUUUCUGUUGCAGGCUCGCCAGAUCCUGGACCAGACGCCGGUGAAGGAGCUGGUGAGCCUCAAGUGGAAGCGGUACGGGCGGCCGUACUUCUGCAUGCUGGGUGCCAUAUAUCUGCUGUACAUCAUCUGCUUCACCAUGUGCUGCAUCUACCGCCCCCUCAAGCCCAGGACCAAUAACCGCACGAGCCCCCGGGACAACACCCUCUUACAGCAGAAGCUACUUCAGGAAGCCUACGUGACCCCUAAGGACGAUAUCCGGCUGGUGGGGGAGCUGGUGACUGUCAUUGGGGCUAUCAUCAUCCUGCUGGUAGAGAUUCCAGACAUCUUCAGAAUGGGGAUCACUCGCUUCUUUGGACAGACCAUCCUUGGGGGCCCAUUCCAUGUCCUCAUCAUCACCUAUGCCUUCAUGGUGCUGGUGACCAUGGUGAUGCGGCUCAUCAGUGCCAGCGGGGAGGUGGUACCCAUGUCCUUUGCACUCGUGCUGGGCUGGUGCAACGUCAUGUACUUCGCCCGAGGAUUCCAGAUGCUAGGUCCCUUCACCAUCAUGAUUCAGAAGAUGAUUUUUGGCGACCUGAUGCGAUUCUGCUGGCUGAUGGCUGUGGUCAUCCUGGGCUUUGCUUCAGCCUUCUAUAUCAUCUUCCAGACAGAGGACCCUGAGGAGCUAGGCCACUUCUACGACUACCCCAUGGCCCUGUUCAGCACCUUUGAGCUGUUCCUUACCAUCAUCGAUGGCCCAGCCAACUACAACGUAGACCUGCCCUUCAUGUACAGCAUCACCUAUGCUGCCUUUGCCAUCAUCGCCACACUGCUCAUGCUCAACCUCCUUAUUGCCAUGAUGGGCGACACUCACUGGCGAGUGGCACACGAGCGGGAUGAGCUGUGGAGGGCCCAGAUUGUGGCCACCACAGUGAUGCUGGAGCGGAAGCUGCCUCGCUGCCUGUGGCCUCGCUCUGGGAUCUGCGGACGGGAGUAUGGCCUGGGGGACCGCUGGUUCCUGCGGGUGGAAGACAGGCAAGAUCUCAACCGGCAGCGGAUCCAACGCUACGCACAGGCCUUCCACACCCGGGGCUCUGAGGAUUUGGACAAAGACUCGGUGGAAAAAUUAGAGCUGGGCUGUCCCUUCAGCCCCCACCUGUCCCUUCCUACGCCCUCAUUGUCUCGAAAUACCUCCCGCAGCAGUGCCAAUUGGGAAAGGCUUCGGCAAGGGACCCUAAGGAGAGACCUGCGUGGGAUAAUCAACAGGGGUCUGGAGGACGGGGAGAGCUGGGAAUACCAGAUCUGAUUGCGUGCUCUCGUUUUGCUUCCCGGAACUUGCUCUCAUUUUCCUGGGAGCAUCAAACAAAACAAAAACCAAACACCCAGAGGUCUCAUCUGCCAGGCCCCAGGGGAGAAAGAGGAGUAGCAUGAACUCCAAGGAAUGUACGUCGAGAAUCACUGCUCCAGGCCUGCGUUACUCCUUCAGCUCUGGGGCUUCGACGAAGCCCAGCCCAAGCAUGGGGCUGGCAGGGCGUGAGGAGCUCUCCUGCGGCCUGCUCAUCACCCCUUCCGACAGGAGCACUGCACAUCAGAGCACUUUAAAAACAGGCCAGCCUACUCGGGCGCUCGGUCUCCACCCCAGGGUCAUAAGUGGGGAGACAGAAGGCCCUUCCCAGGGCACCCAGGCAGGUGCAGGGAAGUGCAGAGCUUGUGGAAAGCGUGUGAGUGAGGGAGACAGGAACGGCUCCGGGGGUGGGAAGUGGGGCUAGGUCUUGCCAACUCCAUCUUCAAUAAAGUCGUUUUCGGA
rnacentral:sRNA from 1 species